GCUUACCCUUACUUACCCCUCAAAUCUCAAUUUUUUUUUCACCCCAUAUUCGGGUGUAAGGAGGAGUAAGAAGGGAGAGAGUAUAAUUAUGAAUAUUUCUAUUUCUGCACCCCUUAGUUUUACCUUUCCUUCACCUCUUCUCAAAUAUAAAGAAUAUACAUUACCUCUCCAUACAUUUCCAUUAAUUCACUCCUUCCCCAACAUGAGAUUUUUUUUAUUGUAACUCUCCUUACCUUCCCCUUCCUUACUUUUUCUUAUCCUUCCAUUAUUUACCAUUCCCUCCCCUCAUCCAAACAGACCCUUAGUGCCACUCAUCCUAGCACACUUUUUUUUUUUUCUGUUUUAUCUGCUUCUUCAUUUCUCACUUGAGGAGGCCAGUCUCUGUGUGAUUGCCAUUCAGUAGCAUCUACCUCCAUCUAGACAAGGGGAACCUCCUCCCUUAUCUAGGACGUGGGUUGUGCCCUUCCCUCUUCUAGAUGGGGUUUUAUUUAUAAAUACGAUUAUGAAUGGAGUUUUUUGGUGCUAGACCAGUGCUGAUUGUUGAGGACAUCAUGUUGGUCAAAUCUGUUGGUUUGUGUUAGAUUUCUUACAUGCAGAUGAUUACUCCAUAUGUGUUAUGUUUUAGCUUUAGGAGGGGAAAAUGUUUUUUUAGAUGAUGGCAUCUCAAGGGUCCUUAGUCGGCUUCGGCUUCAUGGUUGACUCUCAAGGCUGUUAUUGCCGUUUCGAGGUUUCAAGCCCUGCCUUGUCACUCUCUACAGGUUGUUAACCUUGCCUACAAUGGUGAUCUGGGUUAUAUGGUCUUAUUGGCUCUGGUGUUUCAUGUCUCUUUUCUGUUGGGUUGCCUAAUCUUGCCAUUUGUGGGUUUGUCGACUGGGUAGUGGCUCUGGUAGGACUUCCUCAGGCAUCGUCCCAUUUUCUCGUCCUAGAAGAGCUUCGCCCCUAUGCUUCACUUGAUCUCUGUUUAUUCCCUGAAUGGCGCUGCAACAUUGAGUUUGUAGUUUUGUCCAUUUUCAUUUGGGCUACCGUAUAGAUUAGUUUUUAGUUAUUUAAUGGGGCUUGGGCUCUUAUCUAUUAGGUUAGCUUGGGCUAGUUUUCAUUGUAUUGUUACUUUAUAACCAUUUUUUUUAUCAAUGAAACUCGAUCUUUUGAUAAGACAAAAUUUAAUAAUUAAAAAAAAAGAUGGCACUUAAAUUUUUAAAAGAUAGAGAAAACAAAUUACAAUGUGAAACAUGUACUAUAUUAUUGGAAUUAGAAAAAUAUUAUGAAUUAAUUUUGAAGAAUUAAUUUUCAAAUUAAACAGUUUUUAAGUUCUAGCAGUUGAUUGAUUAAAGGAGCGGAAAAAAGAAGAUCUAAUCUGAUUCAUGUAUGCUCAAGUUCAUUGUUAAUCUAGAUUGAUAUUGAUAAGAAAUUUAUGAAUGAUAGAAAAAUUAAGGAUCCAUGAUCUAUAACAAAUUGAGAAUAUAAACACCUAGUAUAGUCACUAAUAACCCACUUGUGUUUGAUUAAUUAAAUAUUUAAUUUUGGCUAAAAGUUAAAUUUCACCUAUGUAAUUAUUAGAAAUAUUCAAUUUAAUUUAUUUUCAAUUUUUUUAUCUAAAUUAAUUAAAAAUCUUAAUUUAAGUUUAAUUUAAUUCAAAAAUUAACUUGAUUUAUUAACUUAGACAAAAACAUUAAAAAAUUUAUUUUCUUAAUUUAGUUUAAAAAUAAAUUUUUACACUAUUUUAAAUAAAAAGAAUGUCCCAAUAAGUGAAAUUGCGCAUUAAAUCAUUUAAUUUUCUUUAUGUAAUAUUUUAGCAUUUUACUGUCUGCAAGGCUGUAUCACUGUUUGAAUUGAUGGUGUAGCCCUCUAAAUUUAGAUUUGGGCCAAAUCCUUUAAUUUGCAGUCUAAAUAAAUUUGGAUUUUGGAUUUGGAUUUUAGUAAAAUCCAAGAUUUAUAAAAGAGGGCCGAAAAUUGCAGAAAUUGUAUUAUAAAACUGUAAUUUUAUAUAGGCAUAUUAUAUGAAAUGAUAAGUUAGAAAUAAAAAAAAAAAUACAUAUAUAAAUUUUGUUAUUAAAUGUUUAAAAAUAAAAAUUACUUGAAAAAUAUUUGAUAAUUAUAAUUUUAUAGGAUUCACAUGCGUAUGUAUAUUUAUUUUUUAUUAGUCUGUUAUUUUAUAUAGGGCAAGAAAUCGCUACUAUAUAAUUAUAAUUACUUCAAAAUUGUGUCGUAGAUAAGACUGAAUUUAGUCAAGAAUUUCCCCGAUGGCGCAUCCUCCUAAUACUCACCUCUUUUCAUGAAAAAUUUUCCUUCCAUUAUUCACUCGACACGCCUCAUUUUCCUUCGAUUCUUCCCUCAAGCCGUUUAUCCCCUCAACCCGCUGCCUUGGUUUUUCAACUCGACACUCGUUGCAGUCUCUUCUCGGCUUUCCUUCGUCUCAGCUUAGUUUCUAUUCUUGUGCUAAUUGGCUGGUGAAAAUUAAGGGAAUAAUUUUGCUCAUGUAAUGGGUUUGAAGCAGAUUGCUUUGUGCCCAGUGUGCACUAUUGAUAAGAAAUGUAACGCUUGUAUUUCUUUGUAUUCUUCAGAAUUGAUUAAAAUCCUUGUGUAAUCCUUAAUUUUGUUCUUCUGUGGAUCAAGAUUUUCAAAAGCCAAGUCCAAUUGAGGUGUUUGCUGUA